AUUGAACGCUGGCGGCAUGCCUUACACAUGCAAGUCGAACGGUAACAGGUCUUCGGAUGCUGACGAGUGGCGAACGGGUGAGUAAUACAUCGGAACGUGCCUAGUAGUGGGGGAUAACUACUCGAAAGAGUGGCUAAUACCGCAUGAGAUCUACGGAUGAAAGCAGGGGAUCGCAAGACCUUGUGCUACUAGAGCGGCCGGUGGCAGAUUAGGUAGUGGGUGGGAUAAAAGCUUACCAAGCCGACGAUCUGUAGCUGGUCUGGGGAGAGGACGAUCAGCCACACUGGGACUGAGACACGGCCCAGACUCCUACGGGAGGCAGCAGUGGGGAAUUUUGGACAAUGGGCGAAAGCCUGAUCCAGCAAUGCCGCGUGCAGGAUGAAGGCCUUCGGGUUGUAAACUGCUUUUGUACGGAACGAAAAGCCCCGGGUUAAUACCCUGGGGUCAUGACGGUACCGUAAGAAUAAGCACCGGCUAACUACGUGCCAGCCGCCGCCGUAA
rnacentral:rRNA from 1 species